GAUGGACGCUGGCGGCGUGCCUAAUACAUGCAAGUCGAGCGAGCAGACGAGGAGCUUGCUCCUCUGACGUUAGCGGCGGACGGGUGAGUAACACGUGGAUAACCUACCUAUAAGACUGGGAUAACUUCGGGAAACCGGAGCUAAUACCGGAUAAUAUAUUGAACCGCAUGGUUCAAUAGUGAAAGACGGUUUUGCUGUCACUUAUAGAUGGAUCCGCGCCGCAUUAGCUAGUUGGUAAGGUAACGGCUUACCAAGGCAACGAUGCGUAGCCGACCUGAGAGGGUGAUCGGCCACACUGGAACUGAGACACGGUCCAGACUCCUACGGGAGGCAGCAGUAGGGAAUCUUCCGCAAUGGGCGAAAGCUUGACGGAGCAACGCCGCGUGAGUGAUGAAGGUCUUCGGAUCGUAAAACUCUGUUAUUAGGGAAGAACAAAUGUGUAAGUAACUAUGCACGUCUUGACGGUACCUAAUCAGAAAGCCACGGCUAACUACGUG
rnacentral:rRNA from 1 species